ACCCAGUUUCAAUUUCCCGAGCACGCAUACAGACAGCUGCUAUUGCUGUCGGUUCUUCUUCUUUCUCAGAGCUUCUUAUCUCCCGCAGUUGUGUAGCUCCCACCAAAUCUCCGAUCGGGUCGGGUUUCAUCCAAAGCAGAAAAAAGUACAUCGUACUUCAGAUGGAAGGACUUCGUCAUAUGUUGUUGAAGAGCAAGCCUUGAACGAAUUCCCAGUGCAACGUAAACGUGAUAGGAGACUGGCGAAUGGAAUCAUUUAUAAAGAAGGAAAUAGGAACUCAAGAUGACAUUAUGGCUUAACUUGUAGAAAUAACAUAAACUGGAAAGUUUAUAAUGACAAGACAAAGGCCAGUUUGUCCAAGGGAUUGUCUCUGCAGGCGGACGUGAAAUACGCGAGCGAGAUAAAUGAUCGAGGCGUUUCGGUCGGCGUGAUCAUUUGAACCUCUCUGUUUAGUAAAAAAAAAAAUGGCCAGUCGAAGUUUUAUUGUGCACAUUUGUAUCAUUCUGUGAUUCGUCGCCCUUUACUACUAAAGAUAGGUAAAGGAGUAUUUGCCAACGGGGGCCAUGGCCUUUUUGGCUUUUCCGGUAAAGGCUGAACGUCUCGAUGGAAACUGAUACGACUGAUUAAUUCUGCCAGUUCGUGUAGCAAGCGUGUUUUCCAUGUAUCCGAAGUAAUUCAGGAAACACGAAUCAGCCAUGACUAUUGCACUGAUGUUCGCGUAUCGUAAAUUAAGCCUGCACAAGGAACGGACCCUUCGGAUCUACCAGGUUUAUGUCAAAUGAACCUUAAAACAAGCUGAAGCACCUAAGUAAAGAUAGUUCAUGCCAAAAGCAUACUAGGUCAGUUCAUCCUGUCUUGCA